AUCUCUUUUGCUAUUUUUUAGUAUUGGAGAUCUUGUUACUUUGAGUAAAUUAGAGUGUUCAAAGCAAACAGUUAAAGCAUUUUACUGCGUUUGAAUACUACAGCAUGGAAUAACAAAAUUGAACAAGUCAGAAUUCUGUUCUUUUUUCUUAUUUUGGCUUAGUUACGAUUAAUAGGAGUAGCUUGGAGGCAUUUGUAUUCAGAUGUCAGAGGUGAAAUUCUUAGAUUUUCUGGAGACAAACAACUGCGAAAGCAUUUGCCUAAAAUACUUCCAUUAAUCAAGAACGAAAGUUAAGGGAGUGAAGACGAUCAGAUACCGUCGUAAUCUUAACCAUAAACUAUGCCGACUAGGUUUUGGAUGAAACAUUUUUAAAUAAGAAAAUUCCUUUCGGGGAAAUUUCUUAGAUUGCUUCCUUCAGUACCUUAUGAGAAAUCAAAGUCUUUGGGUUCUGGGGCGAGUAUUCGCGCAAGCGAGAAAGUUAAAAGAAUUGACGGAAGGGCACCACCAGGCGUGGAGCUUGCGGCUUAAUUUGACUCAACACGGGGAAACUCACUAGUUUAAGACAAGAGUAGGAUUGACAGAUUAAUAGCUCUUUCUUGAUUUCUUGGAUGGUGAUGCAUGGCCGUUUUUAGUUCGUGAAUAUGAUUUGUCUGGUUAAUUCCGAUAACGAACGAGAUCUUAACCUGCUAAUUAGCGGCGAAUACGUCAUAUUCUUAUGCGAAAUUGAAUAUAGCUGAAUUUGCUUAUUUUGAAGAAUACACUAGGAUACAAUUAAUGUGUCCUUUUCC
rnacentral:rRNA from 2 species